rnacentral:rRNA from 1 species
UACCAGCACCCCGAGUGGUCGGGACGUUUAUUGGGCCUAAAGCAUCCGUAGCCGGUUCUGCAAGUCUUCCGUUAAAUCCAACUGCUUAACAGGUGGGCUGCGGAAGAUACUAUAGAGCUAGGAGGCGGGAGAGGCAAGCGGUACUCGAUGGGUACGGGUAAAAUCCGUUGAUCCAUUGAAGACCACCAGUGGCGAAGGCGGCUUGCCAGAACGCGCUCGACGGUGAGGGAUGAAAGCUGGGGGAGCAAACCGG